rnacentral:rRNA from 1 species
UACGGGGGGGGCAAGCGUUGUUCGGAAUUACUGGGCGUAAAGGGCUCGUAGGCGGCCAACUAAGUCGGACGUGAAAUCCCCAGGCUCAACCUGGGAACUGCAUCCGAUACUGGAUGGCUUGAAUUCGGGAGAGGGAUGCGGAAUUCCAGGUGUAGCGGUGAAAUGCGUAGAUAUCAGGAGGAACACCGAUGGCGAAGGCAGGUCUCUGGGCAUUAACUGACGCUGAGGAGCGAAAGCGUGGGGAGCGAACAGG